rnacentral:rRNA from 1 species
UAACGCGUGAGGAACCUGCCUCAUACAGGGGGAUAACAGUUAGAAAUGACUGCUAAUACCGCAUAAGCGCACAGUGCUGCAUGGCACAGUGUGAAAAACUCCGGUGGUAUGAGAUGGACCCGCGUCUGAUUAGCUAGUUGGUGGGGUAACGGCCUACCAAGGCGACGAUCAGUAGCCGGCCUGAGAGGGUGAACGGCCACAUUGGGACUGAGACACGGCCCAA